UACGGGGGGGGCAAGCGUUGUUCGGAAUUACUGGGCGUAAAGGGCUCGUAGGUGGCCAACUAAGUCAGACGUGAAAUCCCUCAGCUUAACUGGGGAACUGCGUCUGAUACUGGAUGGCUUGAGUUUGGGAGAGGGAUGCGGAAUUCCAGGUGUAGCGGUGAAAUGCGUAGAUAUCUGGAGGAACACCGGUGGCGAAGGCGGCAUCCUGGACCAACACUGACACUGAUGAGCGAAAGCCAGGGGGGCAAACGGG
rnacentral:rRNA from 1 species